GGUUCUAUAGUGUAGAUGGUUAUCACAUCGGAUUCUGACUUCACAAUCAUUAUUCCGGGAACUUGAGUUCGAGUCUCAAUAGAACCU